rnacentral:rRNA from 1 species
GUGCACCAGGCGAGAAACCUCCGCAAUACACGAAAGUGUGACGGGGCCAUCCCGAGUGCCGUCCGCUGAGGACGGCUUUUCCCCAGUGUACAUAGCUGGGGGAAUAAGGAGAGGGCAAGCCUGGUGUCAGCCGCCGCGGUAAUACCAGCUCUCCGAGUGGUGGGGACGCUUAUUGGCCUAAAGCAUCCGUAGCCGGCUGGGCAAGUCCUCCGUUAAAUCCAACGAUUCAAUCGUUGGGCUGCGGGGGAUACUGUCCAGCUUGGGGGCGGGAGAGGCUGAGGGUACUCCAGGAGUAGGGGUUAAAAUGCCGUUAUGGUUUUAACCCUACGGUUUAACAAGUCCUGUAAUUCUUGGAGGACCACCGGUGGCGAA